rnacentral:rRNA from 1 species
AAAAGGUGGCUAUGCUACCGCUUUUGGAUGGGCCCGCGGCGCAUUAGCUAGUUGGUAGGGUAAAGGCUUACCAAGGCAAUGAUGCGUAGCCGAAUUGAGAGGUUGAUCGGCCACAUUGGGACUGAGACACGGCCCAAACUCCUACGGGAGGCAGCAGUAGGGAAUCUUCCACAAUGGGCGAAAGCCUGAUGGAGCAACGCCGCGUGGGUGAAGAAGGUCUUCGGAUCGUAAAACCCUGUUGUUAGAGAAGAAAGUGCGUGAGAGUAACUGUUCACGUUUCGACGGUAUCUAACCAGAAAGCCACGGCUAACUACGUGCCAGCAGCCGCGGUAAUACGUAGGUGGCAAGCGUUAUCCGGAUUUAUUGGGCGUAAAGGGAACGCAGGCGGUCUUUUAAGUCUGAUGUGAAAGCCUUCGGCUUAACCGGAGUAGUGCAUUGGAAACUGGGAGACUUGAGUGCAGAAGAGGAGAGUGGAACUCCAUGUGUAGCGGUGAAAUGCGUAGAUAUAUGGAAGAACACCAGUGGCGAAAGCGGCUCUCUGGUCUGUAACUGACGCUGAGGUUCGAAAGCGUGGGUAGCAAACAGGAUUAGAUACCCUGGUAGUCCACGCCGUAAACGAUGAAUGCUAAGUGUUGGAGGGUUUCCGCCCUUCA